GCGUCCGUAGUUCAACGGAGAACAUCGGCCUUUUAAGCCGAAAGAUGAAAGUUCAACUCUUUCCGGACGUACCA
rnacentral:tRNA from 1 species